rnacentral:rRNA from 1 species
UACGAAGGGGGCUAGCGUUGCUCGGAAUUACUGGGCGUAAAGCGCACGUAGGCGGCUUUCUAAGUCGGAGGUGAAAUCCUGGAGCUCAACUCCAGAACUGCCUUCGAUACUGGAGAGCUUGAGUCCGGGAGAGGUGAGUGGAACUGCGAGUGUAGAGGUGAAAUUCGUAGAUAUUCGCAAGAACACCAGUGGCGAAGGCGGCUCACUGGCCCGGUACUGACGCUGAGGUGCGAAAGCGUGGGAGCAACA